GAUGAACGCUAGCGGCAGGCUUAAUACAUGCAAGUCGAGGGGCAGCACAGGUAGCAAUACUGGGUGGCGACCGGCAAACGGGUGCGGAACACGUACACAACUUACCUUUUGGUGGGGGAUAGCCUUUGGAAACGGAGAUUAAUACCCCAUAAGAUAUUGAGAUCGCAUGAUUUUGAUAUUAAAGAUUUAUUGCCAGAAGAUGGGUGUGCGUAUGAUUAGGUAGUUGGUGAGGUAACGGCUCACCAAGCCCACGAUCAUUAACUGGUGUGAGAGCACGACCAGUCACACGGGCACUGAGACACGGGCCCGACUCCUACGGGAGGCUG
rnacentral:rRNA from 1 species